GACGAACCGUGCGAACGUUAUUCGGAAUCACUGGGCUUAAAGCGCGUGUAGGCGGGCGGGCACGUCGGACGCUGAAAGCCCCCGGCUCAACCGGGGAACGGGCGCCGAAACGACUCGCCUGGAGGGACGUAGGGGGACCGGGAACUUCCGGUGGAGCGGUGAAAUGCGUUGAGAUCGGAAGGAACGCCCGUGGCGAAAGCGCGGUCCUGGACGUCUGCUGACGCUGAGACGCGAAAGCCAGGGGAGCGAACGGG
rnacentral:rRNA from 1 species